rnacentral:rRNA from 1 species
GAUCCUGGCUCAGAUUGAACGCUGGCGGCAGGCCUAACACAUGCAAGUCGAACGGUAACAGAAAGCAGCUUGCUGCUUUGCUGACGAGUGGCGGACGGGUGAGUAAUGUCUGGGAAACUGCCCGAUGGAGGGGGAUAACUACUGGAAACGGUAGCUAAUACCGCAUAACGUCGCAAGACCAAAGAGGGGGACCUUCGGGCCUCUUGCCAUCGGAUGUGCCCAGAUGGGAUUAGCUAGUAGGGUAGGGG